rnacentral:rRNA from 1 species
CAGUCGCCGCGGUAAUACGAAGGGUGCAAGCGUUACUCGGAAUUACUGGGCGUAAAGCGUGCGUAGGUGGUUGUUUAAGUCUGCUGUGAAAGCCCUGGGCUCAACCUGGGAAUUGCAGUGGAUACUGGGCGACUAGAGUGUGGUAGAGGAUAGUGGAAUUUCCGGUGUAGCAGUGAAAUGCGUAGAGAUCGGAAGGAACAUCUGUGGCGAAGGCGACUAUCUGGGCCAACACUGACACUGAGGCACGAAAGCGUGGGGAGCAAACAGGAUUAGAGACCCGCGUAGUCCCUGUCUCUUAUCA